CUACGGGUGGCUGCAGUUAGGGAAAUUCGGCAAUGGGGGAAACCCUGACCGAGCAAUGCCGCGUGAAUGAAGAAGUAUUUCGAUAUGUAAAGUUCUGUUGUUAAGGAAGAAAGGUACGAAUAGGAAAUGAUUCGUAAUUGACGGUACUUAACCAGAAAGCCCCUGCUAAGUACGUGCCAGCAGCAGCGGUAAUACGUAGGGGGCGAGCGUUAUCCGGAAUUAUUGGGCGUAAAGGGUGCGUAGGCGGCCUGUCAAGUCCGAGUUGAAAGCCCACGGCUUAACCGUGGAGGGUGCUCGGAAACUGAUAGGCUUGAAUCCAGAAGAGGCAAGUGGAAUUCUAUGUGGAGCGGUGGAAUGCGUAGAUAUAUGGAGGAACACCAGUGGCGAAGGCGGCUUGCUGGGCUGGUAUUGACGCUGAUGCACGAAAGCGUGGGGAGCAAACAGGAUUAGAUACCCGUGUAGUC
rnacentral:rRNA from 1 species